rnacentral:rRNA from 1 species
UACGGGGGGGGCAAGCGUUGUUCGGAAUUACUGGGCGUAAAGGGCGUGUAGGCGGCCAACUAAGUCCGACGUGAAAUCCCCAGGCUUAACCUGGGAACUGCGUCGGAUACUGGAUGGCUUGAAUCCGGGAGAGGGAUGCAGAAUUCCAGGUGUAGCGGUGAAAUGCGUAGAUAUCUGGAGGAAUACCGGUGGCGAAGGCGGCAUCCUGGACCGGCAUUGACGCUGAAGCGCGAAAGCUAGGGGAGCGAACAGG